GGCCUUUAUUAUUGUUGUUAUUUUGUCUGGUUGUGUUAUUGUUGACGCAAAUUGACUACAGUAGUGGCAAGGUAUGCAGGUUAACCUCUCUUAGGGAAUUUAUUGGAGUGUAUUGAACAUGCAAGAAGAAACAAAAUGAAGAUAGAUAUUACAUUUUUGGGUACAGCAUCUUGUUAUCCGACUCCACAUAGAAGUGUGUCUUGUACUGCAGUUAGAUUUGAAGACGGCAGUGUUUGGCUCUUCGACUGCGGCGAAGGCUCGCAGAUACAGCUGCAGAAGAGUUCCGUCAAGCCCGGACGCGUCUCCAAAAUUUUCAUCACACAUCUUCACGGAGAUCAUGUGUUCGGCCUGCCGGGGCUGGUGUGCACUCUGGGGACCGCCUGGCAGGGAAAGGCGGACGCAGACGCACUGCUGGAGGUGUUUGGUCCCAAGGGACUGCGUAGCUACCUGCGCCGGAGUCUGGCCCUGUCGCGCUCCCUCCUGCCCUUCCAUUACACCGUCCACGAGCUGGUGCCGGUGCCGGAGCAGUUCCCCGCCGACUGGGGCGCGUGGCCGGUGGACCACGAGGCGGCCGGCCCCACCCACCCGCAGGAGCGUCUCGGCCGGGACAUCCCCGUCGCCCGCGAGGACGACCGCUGCACCUGGCACCUUUUCAGCGACGGCUGCGCCGGCGUGCGGGCUGGCAUGAUCCACCACACGAUCCCCUCGUUCGGCUUCGCGGUGGAGCUGGCGAGCCAGCCGGGGCAGCUGGACGCGGGGCGGCUGCGGGAGCUGGGGCUGCCCCCGGGACCCCUGUACGGGGCGCUCAAGCGCGGCGAGGAGGUGACCCUGCCGGGCGGACUGGUCAUUCGUCCUUCGGAAGUAGUGGGGCCGCCGAAGCGGGGGCUGAAGGCCACCAUCCUCGGUGAUACGAGCGACCCAUCCCCCAUGGAGCACCUGGCGAGGGGCAGCGACGUACUGCUGCACGAGGCGACCAUGCGGGACGGCGAGCGGGACAAGGCGCUGGAGUUCGGCCACUCGACGCCCGCCAUGGCGGCCGGCUUCGCUGACCGCGCGGGCGCGCGCCGCCUCGUGCUGUACCACUUCAGCCAGCGGUACAGGCCCGCCGGGCCGGGCACUGACCCCCAGGAAACGGUGGCCGUCCUGCUGGAGGAAGCGAGGGCCGCCCUUCCCCGGGGCAGCGUGUGCGAGGUGUCUGCGGCCGAAGACCUCCUGGAGAUGACCGUCAGCUAGCGACGCCUCUCCGCGGCAGUGCUGGAGGCGACCUGGCUCCCGAACAGCGCUGGGAGGCCGUGUGCUGUCUGCCGUGCCUGGGCCCCCGUGGGCCGGGCCUUCGACUGGCAAGCACUGUGCGACAUGUGAAAUUAGAGAAGAAAAUUAGGUAUUUGGUAUGUUUACAUCUAUAUUUUUAAUAACUUUAUGUAUACAGGAUGGCCAUGAAUAUGUGUUACACAUUGAUAGGGAUGGUAGAUGUAGAUGUGUGGAAAACAUUUUAUUAAGAAACCCAUGUCCGGAAAUGCAUCCUUAUACCUGAAACUGCGCAACAAAGUAACGGGUAGGUAGUGUCACUAGGAUACAAUUUAAAAAAAAAAAUUAUUACAUAAUGUUAUAAAAAAAAAUUAACUUUCAAAUUUUGCCAUGGUUCCUUAAACUGGUAUGUAAGCAUUGUUUCUAAGUACAGAAUUGGUUUUAUUCUUGGUGAAGAAACAUAUCAUAGUGACUAUUUGCGUGGUCAAAAUAUGAGAAAAACCAUAAUCUUCUAGAAGAUUACAUCACUUUCAUCAACUAAGGUGGCUAGUUCACCACCAAUUUAAAUUUCGGGAUUUUUAUUUAAAUAUGCAGAGCACCUUUUUUGAAGUCAAUAUUGUUAUAUAAAUUAUAUCUGUGGCACACCCUUAAAAAGAAGUUGUAUUUGUGGUUAUUACAAAUUGUAGUCAAACUGUAAAAGAUAAAGAAACCGAGAAAAUUUAUAAGGUUUUUCUUUUCUUUCCAUAACAAAUAUUCACUUUAUAUGUUUGAAAAUACAAACUGUAACAACUAGAUUUAAAAUAUUAAGUACUAUCCUUUUAAGAGGAAAUUAAUCUUCCUUUUCUGAAUUCAUUUUAUUUUUAUUCUGUAACUUAUGUUGAAAUUAUACAGGAAAGCACCAGUACAACGAACUUCAGUUAAACGAACACUUCACUUAACCGAACUCAUUGUUUGGUCCCGCCAAAAACGUAUAUAAUAACCUUGAAUUUUAUUUCAUCUUAACGAAUUUUACGACGGUCCGUUUCUUCCUGAAACAAAAAUAUUCACUUGAACGAACAACCUUGAGGCAAAUUUUGAAAAAAAUUACCAUCCAAAAACUUGUACUUUAUUUUUAAUUUUCUUAUUCAAACGUAACAGCGUGUACGUAAACAAAAACAAUAACGGAACUAGUAUGUGUGCGCAUGUACUGUCGACAUGAGUAGAUUAAUUCUCGUGUUUUGAAAUAAUAAUGGGAUGGUAUUACGUCCGUUGUACGAUACAAAUAGUACAUAUUCUCGGACUUUUCGUUUGUUGGCUACUUACAUCACGAUAAUUUUUGUACGGUACUUUGGCUAACCUGUGCUGUUUUAAUUUAUUUCUUGAAAUUCAUUUUUUUCACCAUAUUGUUUUUGUCGUGUCUACAGACGUGAAAUUUUUUUCCUUUUUUCAAUAGUGUUGUGUUCUUCAGUGCCGGUUGUGGGAAGCCUACAACUCACGUAGUUUCGGUUCCCUGCAAGAAUUUCCGAAGAUUUCCGAAGUUUUGCGUUUCGGUAUUAACGCCACUUCAGCCGCUAAAUCAAUGAAAACAAGCAUGUUGUGACUAACCUAACCCAACCCUUCGAUUUUUUUAAUUUCAAUUUUUGAGUGAAAUCCAAAGUUGCACGAACGUGGUAGGAAACCGAAACUACGUGAGUUGUAGGCUACCGGCCGGUUGUAGAAAUGAAGCGUGUAUCUGGGGGAUAAAAAAAAGAACGCAAUUCUUCAAAACUUUUGACCUAAGACCUAACUAUUCAAAAGAAUGGCCAUGCUUGUCUUCAAAUGUUUUGGAACACCACGCGUUUUGUAAUGUAUGCACGUUUGACUUUUCGAUUGCACAUGGUGGAAGGGAUGACUGUAGAGGGCACAUUGAAUUAAAGAAACAGGCGGAACAUUUUAUAGUCAUGACGAGCAAUAAAUCCAUAUCGUAGUUUUUUCGCUACAUCUGAAAAAACGAAAGUAACGAACGCAGAGUUAUUGUUUACAAGUUCUUUUGUUUGUCUUCUGUUGUUUGUUUAUAAGACAGUUCUUAUCCAACCAGGAUAAAAGAAGCAAAUAAAAAUAUAAUUGUUCAAAAGUAUAACUUUGAAUACUUUGAAUUGAAGGUUGAAAAUUUCCUGUAAAAUUAAUGACAUUUCUUACAUAUUCAGAUGAUUGUAUUGUUCAAAUAGUUUUUUUCUUCGAUUCAUUAAUUUUCAUUGUAUUCAUAUACAUAGGCCUACAUUUUUAAUUUUUUUUUUGCAUAUUAUUGUCCUUUUGUUUUCUCUUGUGUGUGUCAUAAUUCCUCAGGAAAAAUUUAUUGUGCAUGAUUUACGCGUACUUUUUUAAUAUAAUUGUCAUUACUGAUGGGUGUGAUUUGAGGUUGGCAGCUCUGCCUACAAUGUGUCUCCUGACCAUAGACAAAGCAUCAGCAGAGAGUAUGUGAACAGGUUCUUCAAGCGGCCAUAGACUAAUGACUGAGAUACUGAACCUUAAAACACUUAAGGUGUUUCAUGUGUUUAUCGGUAUACAUAUUUAUAACAAUGCUUAUGUUUCAGUAUAAAGAACUUCAGUAUAACAAACUCAACUAUUUUUUGGUCCCUUCAUGUUCUUUAUAGUGAAGCUUUCCUGUAUUUGUCUUUUGAACAUUUAUUUCAGAAACUGCAAUUGCCAAUCAUAAAAUUUAACAAAGAUCUCAAUACACACAUUGUACUGGUUUAUGAUUUUUCCAAAGUGUUUGGUUAGCGAAUUAAGAUUAAAUGUUUGUUAACUAGUUUCUUUCUCUCUCUCUGUCUCUUUCCCCCCUCCCCCCCUUCCUUUUCAGCUAACACACAGGUUUCAAUUUUUGCAAUCUGAAAAUCUUGACACCACCUAAUCUUCUUCACUCUCUUGCUCAUCGUCAGCAAUCUCAUCCAGUUCUUCAUUUGUUUCAUCGAUUUCUUCUUCAUUUGUGUCAUCAUCCUUCAGCUUUUUCAUUAUCUCAGCUUCAAGUAACUUCUUAAUUUCCUCAGCAUCAUGCACCUUCUUAAGUUCUCUGGCCUCAUCUGGAAAAUGCAGACAGGCCAUAAGGUUCAUAUUUUGAUAAUUCAAGAUAAAAAAAAAGGCACUGCUUUGACCCUGGUGAAAACACAUUAAAGAAAGUUGUUAUUAUUAUGCAGUACACAGUUUAUGGUGCGCACUUUUAUAUCUUACAUUACGAAUUUCAGAAGAUGUGUUUCUUUGGAAUCCGUGCCUUUUCCACAUUUAAGACCCACAUUUACCCACAACUCAUCCUUAAAGAUAACUGGCAUCCCUAAAUCCUGAAACCUUUUUACUUCUCUCUAGUGGGCAUGCUGCCAUCGAUUUAUGGUUUUGUUUGGAAUUUUGGGAAAAUUGAAAAUUAUUAUUUCUUCAUCAAUCUAAUAUAUUUUAAUUUCAAUCAUUUUUUUUUUAGUCCUACUCAAUCAAGUUUUUUAUUGUCACCCUCCGUGGCUUCUCAGGAUUCAUCCGUCUGGUUGGCUUACGCUAUAGCUUAGCAGAUUAAAAGAAAUUAUUCAGAGCUUGCAUAAAUGAAAACCAACAAUUUCAUUGAGAGGUGUCAAUAUUUGCUUGGACAUUGCUCUUCAAACUUCCACACAUUCAUUGGCAGUUGCUUGCUGCCGUCGGCAAACACUCAACAAGGAACUCUGAAGAAAUAGUGGCUAGCAAGGCUGUGCUGAAGUCCUAACGGCAACUGAGGCGGAGAAAGAGAAGUUUUUUGGUACUGCGAAGUUGGCAGAGGAGGCUUGGGGUUAAAUAAAGAGGAAAACAACUGCCUUGUGGCGAAAAGGGACCUUCAGAGGCCAAGGGAGACCACCCUAACAGAAAACAGCAGACUUGGAGGCUUCAGGUGGCAGUCCCACUAUCAAGCUCGGGUGCUGUGGACUUAUAACUCCUACAGCAUUUAACUAACAUUGACAAAGAAAAAACCUGUCUGAUCCAAAGAUGACGACAUUUGUCUUGAAAAUGCUAAUACACGUGGAAGCAAUGGAAGAAGGCAAGACCUGGAGAGAGGUGGAAAGGUUAGCCGGAAACAGAAACAAGAUGGAGAUAUUUUGUUGACGCCCCCAUGUCUAGGGACAAGGCGCCACAAGACUAUAUGGUAAAUUGCGAUAAAACCGAAAUAACGCCGAAAAGCACGUCUGAACACCGAAAUUCAAGUUAACACACCACACAGCAUCGAAAUGCAACUAAAAUUAUGAAAAUAAUCAGAAUUUUAAACCAAAACUUAAACUCAAAACGACAAAUACCUAAUCUUUUAAAUGUUAAAUUCACUGAAAGUAACUUCGUUAGCAUGACACAGUGCAGUGACAGUGUACAGCUGCUGCCUUACGUCUCUGGACUGAACCGUUUGGCUUUAUAGCCUGUCAUUUUUUUUAUCACAUUGCUGAGACCCAAAAAAUAUCUUAAUUGAUCCUCUUUUGUAGUGGGACACAUUUUCAGUUUAGAUCGUUGAAGGUGUAGUGUAGCAGUAGCAGUGGUGCCUGACCUGUCGCUCUCGCAACGAGCUUGCGGGUGGGCGCGCUGAGCCGCGGCAGCCUGGCGGACCAGUCGGGGUCGCGGUACCUCCGCGCCGGCGCCUCGGUCCCCGGCGCCUCCCGUGGGGGCGGCUCCGUCGCGUCCGCUCCCAGCCACACGCCGACGACGCUCAGCACGCCAGUGGCUGCCCUGACGAGCCGCGGGAGCCCCACGUGGGGCCCGGGGGCCGGGAACAAGGGCUCUGGCCGCCACCGCCCGUCCCGCAGGCUGGCCGGCUGCGAGAACACCACGCCCCGCGGGACGCCGAAGGUGCCUGGCACACGCCGUGGACCCCAGGCGAACUUGAAACCCAGUGAGUGAUCUUAAACUACUUCCUGACGCGUUGUGGAUACCUUCACGGCGCCCCGCACGAUCCAGUGCUCCACGGCUUCCUUGAUCUGCGAGCGCACGUCUUGCCUCGGGAACAACAAGGGGCCGACCUCGCGCACCUCCAUCCUGAAGGAGCCCAGCGGCAUCUGGGAGUCCCUGGUGGCGCCCACCACCCGGGCGCUGGGCUCGAACACCACGCGCCGGUGACGCGUGGCAUCAGCGUCUACCUGGUGGUCCAGUCCUAGGACGGCGCGAGGCUCGGGUCUGACUGAAGCUCGGCGCAAAACGUUUAGGAAUAAUAUUUAAAGAUUUCCCAACAAAACAGGUUUUUUUACGUUUAACCAUCAACUAUAUCUUGAAUUAAAUUCAUUACUGUUCUGCUUUGUACUCAGCGAUUUUAAGAUUUUUUCGGAAAAUUAAAACACAAAUAAAGUAAAUUUUUUGUAGAAAACUGUGGACUUAAGUCGUUACUUAAGAAUGUUUUCUGGGAAAUGAUGUAGAAAUUUGAAGAUUGGUUGGUUAUAUGUACAGGUAAACUUGUUCGCUGGAACUUUGUUACAGUAAUUUCACUGAUUCUCUCUGUAAUAUAGUGAGACAAUUUGCUUUUCUCCAACUGUAGGUUUUUUUUUCAUUUC